CAAAGCUAAUACCCAAAGUCUUUGAAGGAGCCAACAGAGUGAGAUGAAGGGGACAACUUCAGAUACUCAGGCAGAAGCAUAAGUCCCCACCUGCUGACCUGCUGCCUGCUAUCUUAACACGAAUUCUUCAUCUGAAUGGAUGAGCUUUUCACAGAGCUGAAUGCACACCUGGCCCAAGAGCUGGAGAAGCUAAAGGCGGGACCAGGGAAAGGUGGAGCGGUUGCAGACUCAGCUGCUGGCCCACAUCAACAAGGUGAGCCAGCAGAUCCUUCCACCCCACUUGCUGAUACAGCUUCAACAAAGAAGGGUGUUCACCAACUGACUACAAGAAUCAUUGCUAACCAGGGAUGACUCAUUCUCACAUCCAUCCUAAAUAGACUUCCUUGGAUACAAAAAAUCCAGAGUUUGCCGUAUCUCCAUGGACACUGUCAUUUAGACAGGACACUUACUUCUUGGGAAACUCACUUCCAUUUUCCUAAUAAGGUUCCCUUUGAAGACUAAGAAUUUCUCCAAGACAAAAUUCAUGUAAGCCAAA
rnacentral:lncRNA from 1 species